UACGGAGGGUGCGAGCGUUGUUCGGAAUCAUUGGGCGUAAAGGGUGCGUAGGCGGCGCGGUAAGUCGGGUGUGAAAUCUCGGAGCUUAACUCCGAAACUGCAUUCGAUACUGCCGUGCUAGAGGAUUGGAGAGGAGACUGGAAUUUACGGUGUAGCGGUGAAAUGCGUAGAUAUCGUAAGGAAGACCAGUGGCGAAGGCGGGUCUCUGGACAGUUCCUGACGCUGAGGCACGAAGGCCAGGGGAGCAAACGGG
rnacentral:rRNA from 1 species